GAUUUUGGACAAUGGGGGAGACCCUGAUCCAGCCAUCCCGCGUGUUGGAUGAAGGACUUCGGGUUGUAAAGUACUUCUGUCAGAGAAGAAAAGGUAUCUCUUAACACGAGAUACUGCUGACGGUAUCUGCAGAAUAAGCACCGGCUAACUACGUGCCAGCAGCCGCGGUAACACGUAGGGUGCAAGCGUUAAUCGUAUUGACUGGGCGUAAAGCGUGUGUAGGCGGUUCGGAAAGAAAGAUGUGAGAUCCCAGGGCUCAACCUUGGAACUGCAUUUUUAACUGCCGAGCUAGAGUAUGUCAGAGGGGGGUAGAAUUCCACGUGUAGCAGUGAAAUGCGUAGAUAUGUGGAGGAAUACCGAUGGCGAAGGCAGCCCCCUGGGAUAAUACUGACGCUCAGACACGAAAGCGUGGGGAGCAAACA
rnacentral:rRNA from 1 species